rfam:Triticum aestivum genome assembly, contig: Triticum_aestivum_CS42_TGACv1_scaffold_591858_7BS
AUUGUACUCUCUCCGUCCGGAAAUACUUGUCGAAAAAAUGAUGUAUCUAGACAUAUUUUAAUUCUAAAUAUAUCCAUUUUUAUGCAUUUCUUCGACAAGUAUUUUCGGACGGAUGGAGUACUAU